rnacentral:lncRNA from 1 species
ACCGACAGUAUCGUAAUUACGAUAUCUUUGUUACGUUCUGAUUGGCCCGUUUUUUGUUUACAAAAUACUUUUAUAUAACUUUUAUGUGAAACGUUUUUGCAUAGGAAAUUUAAUUAAAAAUUAACUUUUUUUGCUGCUUAGCAAAAAAAUGUUAGUCGGAAGAAGCAAAAGGGGAUGGCGUGGUGCCAGUAAGAUGGUAUCGAUAUGAUCUAGUCUCAAUUAAGUUAGUCGCAGACGAAAAAUAAAACCUUUAAACAAUUUCUCUCUAUAUUUACUUGUUCAAGUGCCAGUGAAACGAAC